UUUUGAGAUGGAGUCUCACUCUUGUUGCCCAGGCUGGAGUGCAAUGGCACAAUCUUGGCUCACUGCAACCUCCAUCUCUGGGGUUCAAGCAAUUCUCCUGUCUCAGCCAUCUUUUAUUUAAGUUUCUGAUUAUUUCCUUUAAAUGAUUCAUAGAAGGUACACAAUAAAUUUACAAAUCAAAGGGUCCUAAUCUUAGUUUUGAUGUCUAUUGAUAAAAAGCUUGCCUGAAAGUUUUGUUGUUGUUGUUGUUGCUUUAAUGGGCUUAUCAGAGGUUUGAGAUUAACUCUGGAUUUAAUUUGUCUGAGCUAUAUAUUUCCCAGUCCUUAGUAAAUGACCAAGAAUUGAUUCUGGGUGGUGAGAAAUCCAUACACUAUCACACUGGCAUGUCCCUUGUGAAGCAUGGCAUGGUCUCAAGCUCCUUAUGUCUGUGCCCAAGGCACCAUCCUACCUUCAUUUGUCAUCUCCAAAUCUAGAGGGUAUCAUUUUCAUCAUUCUCACUUCUUAUAACCUCAACAGAUUCUGCAGUUGAUGAAAAGCGAGCAUUGAGAUUUGUGAUGUAUAUGUUUACAUCAAGGUUUUGAAUUCAGCGACC
rnacentral:lncRNA from 10 species